rnacentral:rRNA from 1 species
GACGAACGCUGGCGGCGUGCUUAACACAUGCAAGUCGAGCGGUAAGGCCCUUUCGGGGUACACGAGCGGCGAACGGGUGAGUAACACGUGGGUGACCUGCCCUCAGCUCUGGGAUAAGCCUGGGAAACCGGGUCUAAUACCGGAUAUGACUCCAUGACGCAUGUUGUGGGGUGGAAAGCCUUGUGCGGCUGAGGAUGGGCCCGCGGCCUAUCAGCUUGUUGGUGGGGUGANGGCCUACCAAGGCGACGACGGGUAGCCGGCCUGAGAGGGCGACCGGCCACACUGGGACUGAGACACGGCCCAGACUCCUACGGGAGGCAGCAGUGGGGAAUCUUGCGCAAUGGGCGAAAGCCUGACGCAGCGACGCCGCGUGAGGGAUGACGGCCU